AUGACAUCAGGGCAGUGUAAAAUAGCUCUGAUUCAAUAGUAAAGAGCUGUAAACAGCAAACCUUCUGGUUAAAAGUAAGAGUUCUUCAUAUAAACAGCGAAUUAUUAACUAAUAUUUUUCUGCACGACACGUCACUAAUAAUACCUUUUGUUUACAUUACCAUGGCUCUUUUAGUGUUUCCCCCAUGUACAUUAGUUUUACUGUUGAUAAAUCAUGUUUAAUCCAUUAUGUUAUGCAGGUGUGUGAAGACCAUGGUGAAGACACUGAGCCUCAUUCUCAAACUCUGUUUCUGAUUCUGAAAAAUACUUUUUAUUAGUUGAACUUAAUAUGUAGUGUAUGAUCAUAUCGCUCAAUACUAAAAGGUUUUAGCUCGUCUUUUACCUUAAUUAAUUAAAUCUGAGCCAUAUAUUAAAUUACAGUACUUCUGUCACAUGGCCCGCUCCUGCCAAUCAGCGUUCCCGCGCGCGCGCUCCUCAGUCAGUCGUGAAGAAGAUGCCGCUCAAGUCAAAGAAAGAGCAGACUGGGAGGAGCAGCAGGAAAGGGAAAAAACAGCGCGAAGAGAAAGAGAAUGAGGGUGUGAAUAAGAGCGCCAGGACUCCUCCGAGCAUCAGACCGUCCGACCCGAGCGAACUGAAGAGGAGCCGGCGGCUGAGCACAUCACACUUCCCCAUCAGCCGGAGCCGAGAGCUGGAGCCGCUGGCCGGACUCACAGGUACACCAGUGCACGGAUGCAGACACAGGAACAUGGAGAGUAAACACGCAUACACACACACACACAC